UACGGAGGUGGCAAGCGUUGCUCGGAAUCACUGGGCGUAAAGGGCGCGUAGGCGGUCUUGUAAGUCUUGUGUGAAAUCCCUCGGCUUAACUGAGGAACUGCACGGGAUACUGCAUGACUUGAGAUCGGGAGAGGGAAGCGGAAUUCCGGGUGUAGCGGUGAAAUGCGUAGAUAUCCGGAGGAACACCGGUGGCGAAGGCGGCUUCCUGGACCGACACUGACGCUGAGGCGCGAAAGCUAGGGGAGCAAACGGG
rnacentral:rRNA from 1 species